UACGGAGGGGGCAAGCGUUGCUCGGAUUUACUGGGCGUAAAGGGUCCGUAGGCGGUUGUGUAAGUCUGGUGUGAAAUCUUCGCCGCUUAACGGGAAGCAGCCACUGGAAACUGCAUAACUUGAGUCUGGUAGAGGCAAGCGGAAUUCCUGGUGUAGCGGUGGAAUGUGUAGAUAUCAGGAAGAACAUCUGUGGCGAAGGCGGCUUGCUGGGCCAGUACUGACGCUGAGGGACGAAAGCGUGGGGAGCAAACGGG
rnacentral:rRNA from 1 species